rnacentral:rRNA from 1 species
GGGGCACCACCGGGAGUGGGGCCGGCCGCUUAAUUUUCCUUAUCUCGGGAAAACUCACCCGGACCCGACGCUGUUGGGAUUGACCGACUGGGGGCUCUUUCUUAAAUCAUGGGGGGGUGGUGCAUGGCCGGUCUUAGUUGGGGGGGGCAUUUGGCUUGUUGAUUCCAAUAACGAAGAUUUCUCUGGCCUAUUAAAUUACCGAGGUAUUCUUAAGUACCUCUCGCUUCUAAACGGUACGAGCCGCUUCCGGUCUCAAGACAAACCCCCAUAUCACGCCUGUGAUGCACUUAAAUGGCCGCGGAUGCUCGCGCGCUACGAAGAGAGAAACCGAGGAGAAGGUACCUAUCUCGGGUCAGCCGCUUCACCCCCGGAACUUCUUUCAAAUGACGGAUGUGGAAUUGCAUUUAUUUCCCUCCAUAGCUCAAUUCCCAGGCAACAAUCCAAAUAAGCUCGUCUUGAUUACGCUGCCUGCCCUUUGUGACACUCGCGUAUCUACUACGGAUUGGAUGACUUUUGGAG